rnacentral:rRNA from 1 species
AACUUUCAACAACGGAUCUCUUGGUUCUGGCAUCGAUGAAGAACGCAGCGAAAUGCGAUAAGUAAUGUGAAUUGCAGAAUUUUGUGAAUCAUCGAAUCUUUGAACGCACAUUGCACCUUUUGGUAUUCCGAAAGGUAUGCUUGUUCGAGCGUCGUUU